CGCAUCUGUGCAUGCAGCAUAUCAAUAAGCGGAGGAAAAGAAACUAACAAGGAUUCCCUUAGUAACGGCGAGUGAAGCGGGAAGAGCUCAAAUUUGAAAUCUUCAAGGUUUUACCUUGACGAAUUGUAGUUUAAAGAAGUGUUUUCUGUUGAAGUUUUGGUAAAAGUUCUUUGGAAUAGGACAUCAUAGAGGGUGAGAAUCCCGUAUUUGACCAUUAUUUUCAGCUGUGUGAUACACUUUCAAAGAGUCGGAUUGUUUGGGAAUGCAGUCCAAAAUGGGUGGUAAAUUUCAUCUAAAGCUAAAUAUUGGCGAGAGACCGAUAGCGAACAAGUACCGUGAGGGAAAGAUGAAAAGAACUUUGAAAAGAGAGUUAAACAGUACGUGAAAUUGUCAAAAGGGAAGCGUUUGACACCAGUGUUGUUUUCUCGAAAAUCAAUUAAAAAGAGUUUGAUCUUGUUGUGUAUUGACCUUAACAGCUUGCAUUUCAAUUUUCUUGCUUUUUUUAAUGCACUUUUCGUUUAACAAGUCAACAUCAGUUUCUUUUGUUGUAAAAAGGUCAUUGGAAGGUGGCUUUCUUUUCGGAGAAAGUGUUUAUAGCCUUUGACUCCUGCAAUCGGAGAGACUGAGGUCUGCAGCGUAGAUCCUUCGGGGUUAGAUACAUUUGUGCUAAGUUAUAGCUUUUUAUAGACAACUUGUUGACUAUGAUUAGUCUUGUAGCUUACUCGCUUAUGCUAUUUUACCUACGCUUAGGAUGUUGACACACGCGCGUGCUCG
rnacentral:rRNA from 1 species